rnacentral:miRNA from 1 species
CGUCAUGGAUCGCGGGGGGACG